rnacentral:rRNA from 1 species
UGGUAAUGCCGGAUGCUCCAGUUGAUCGCAUGGUCUUCUGGGAAAGCUUUCGCGGUAUGGGAUGGGGUCGCGUCCUAUCAGCUUGACGGCGGGGUAACGGCCCACCGUGGCUUCGACGGGUAGCCGGCCUGAGAGGGCGACCGGCCACAUUGGGACUGAGAUACGGCCCAGACUCCUACGGGAGGCAGCAGUGGGGAAUAUUGCACAAUGGGCGCAAGCCUGAUGCAGCGACGCCGCGUGAGGGAUGGAGGCCUUCGGGUUGUAAACCUCUUUUAUCGGGGAGCAAGCGAGAGUGAGUUUACCCGUUGAAUAAGCACCGGCUAACUACGUGCCAGCAGCCGCGGUAAUACGUAGGGUGCAAGCGUUAUCCGGAAUUAUUGGGCGUAAAGGGCUCGUAGGCGGUUCGUCGCGUCCGGUGUGAAAGUCCAUCGCUUAACGGUGGAUCCGCGCCGGGUACGGGCGGGCUUGAGUGCGGUAGGGGAGACUGGAAUUCCCGGUGUAACGGUGGAAUGUGUAGAUAUCGGAAAAGAAACA